UACGAAGGGGGCUAGCGUUGCUCGGAAUCACUGGGCGUAAAGCGCACGCAGGCGGCUUCUUAAGUCAGGGGUGAAAUCCUGGAGCUCAACUCCAGAACUGCCUUUGAUACUGAGGAGCUUGAGUCCGGGAGAGGUGAGUGGAACUGCGAGUGUAGAGGUGAAAUGCGCAGAUAUUAGGAAGAACACCGGUGGCGAAGGCGGCUCUCUGGAACGGUACUGACGCUGAGACGCGAAAGCGUGGGGAGCGAACAGG
rnacentral:rRNA from 1 species